ensembl:miRNA
CUCCCAAAUCUCCUGUUGAAAUGUAAUCCCCACCUCCAGCAUUGGGGAUUACAUUUCAACAUGAGAUUUGGAUGAGGA